UUUCGCUUUUCAUAUAACCUUCAUAUAUACUCGAUAAUAUGGAUCGGAUGUUUCUACCAAAUCACCGUAAAUGAUUUGACUAUGAAGGCAGAUUUUAUUUGG
rnacentral:ncRNA from 1 species